rnacentral:rRNA from 1 species
UACGGGGGGGGCAAGCGUUGUUCGGAAUUACUGGGCGUAAAGGGCUCGUAGGCGGCCAACUAAGUCAGACGUGAAAUCCCUCGGCUUAACCGGGGAACUGCGUCUGAUACUGGGUGGCUUGAAUCCGGGAGAGGGAUGCGGAAUUCCAGGUGUAGCGGUGAAAUGCGUAGAUAUCUGGAGGAACACCGGUGGCGAAGGCGGCAUCCUGGACCGGUAUUGACGCUGAGGUGCGAAAGCGUGGGGAGCAAACAGG